rnacentral:ncRNA from 1 species
GACUCUACAAUUGGAGCCUGCGCCAUAUAUGGCCUUGAGGGAAGCCGGUGUGAAUCCGGCGCGGUCCCGCCGCUGUGACCGGGGACGAAAGCCGCUGAUUAAGCCACUGUCCGAUUUAAGGGCGGGAAGGUGGCGGCCGGUAGGUUGAUCCGGAAGCCAGAAGACCUGCACGCUCCUCUUUUUGGCU